AAUCAAGAAUUACAUUCAUAGAACUGCAGAAUAUAUAUACAAUUUUAAGCAGUCAAAAGGGAAAUGUCCAACACAGGCCAAAACAGUUGUGACGUAGUGAUUCUAGCUAUGACUUUUAACUCAAAUCACACUUCACAGAAUAGUACAAAACAAAAAUAACCGCACUUUUUUUUUCCUGUUUCUUUUUAAUUUAACUCAAAAUGGGGCUUAUUUCUUUUUACAAUAUCCCUUGCUUUUCAAAGCACGUUAAAGUAGACAGCCAAUAAACAACCAAAAAUCAACCAUCUCAUGAAUUAUUUCACCACAUAGGACAGCAUCAAGAGAUCAUACAACUUUCAAAUGAGAAAGAAUAAUACACAUAUCUACGAGUCAUCAAUAGAUAUCAAGCCCAAUAAAUAUAAAUAUUCCAACACAGGUAAAUAAUCCAAAACAGUACUUCGGUGCAUCCAAUCUCAAAGUCCAUAAUUAAAGCAACCCAACAUAACUUAUCAACUCAUAUAACAUUAAUUCAUAACACAGCAACAUAUGGUUCUCUCAACAGUUUUGAUGACUCUUUUGAAUGUUUGUAUUCUUAAAUGGAGGGUUCAAAGGAAAAAUAAUUGAUGUUUGUGUGUGUGUGUGUGUGUGUGUGUGUGUGUGUUAGAUGUCCGUUAGACCCAUCUUUUCCGAGAGUCAAUGAUGAGUAAAUAGCUUCAUGGAGAUCAUAGAUAACUGAACUGUUCAAGGCCUACCUGGAGUCCAACGCACAGUCAGGGGAUUUUGCGGUCCAGCCAAGACAAUAUGACCUCACUCAAAGUGCAGCAUUCCAAUCCCGCGUAGUUCAAACACAGCUGAUAAACGAAUGGCAUACCAAGCAUCUAACCACUCGUCCACCGUGCAGCCAGCGAAACUCCUGUAACACUGUAGUCUUCAAUCUUGUGGUUUCAUUGUCAGCGGCUUUACUUCACAGUGCUUACUGUCUGAUGAUUCAGCUUUCAUACGGCCCAGACACCACGAGGAAAGGAGCAGCAUGCAGGAAUUGUGGAUUCCAGGCACUCCUCCGCAGCGCAGCGAACAAAGCUUUCUUAAGACAGUCGUUUCCAGUUGCGUUGUUUCAUGUUUUGCACAUUUUAAAUGUCUACAAUCUCCAAGCACUUCAUAAUUAUUACUCUCAGUUCAGCAAACAAAAAAACUCAGAGGCCACAACUCCCUCUCACGUGCACCCACACACCUGUCUUUAAAUUGAUUUGAUUUCUCCAUUUCCUCCAGCCUACUGACUCCUCCCACUUGAUGCAUUGCAUUUUGGGCUUUGUAGUUUGUUUUCCGUCACACAGUUCUAUUCAUCUCAUUAGAUAACAUGACACAUAACCUCACCUUCAUAAUUAUUACACUGGUGGCCAAAAGUAUUUUGAAAAGUCUCUUUGAUGCUUAAAAAACAUUUCUUAUUAUCAUUGUCUGUACUACUCCAUCUUUUCCACAGCACAUGAGUAAAAGUCAUUAUCAAAAUAGCCUUUUAAAAGCCAAAGCAAUGUUUUUGUCCACCUUUGGGAAUAAAUAAACUUCUCCAAAGACUGGCUCCUGAUCA
ensembl:lncRNA